UGCGGUCCGGUAAGAUGUUGGGGUUCAUUGUAAGAGAGGAAUCGAGGUUGAUCCUGCUUAAAAAAAAAAAAAAAAAAAAAAAAAAAAAAAAAAAAAAAAUAAAAAAAAAAGAAAGAAAAAAAAAACAAGAAAUGCCUGAACCGAGAAAAAAAGAGGUUCGUGGUCUAUUAGGUAGAUUGAACUACAUGUCAUGGUUCACAUCUCCUUUAACAGCCACGUGGGAACCCAUUCA
rnacentral:lncRNA from 1 species